rnacentral:lncRNA from 1 species
CGCGCGCGCGCGCGCGUGCCUGUGUGUGUGUGUUUCUCGUGUCCUCUAAAAGGCUGCAUUGCUCAGCCUUUGAAGCUGGGCGGGAGGGGCUUGGCCCAGGCUGCAAGACACAGAGCUUCCCUUUUCUUUUGUAGUGGCUCUUCCUGCACAGCAGAGGGUAUCUCAAAAGGCUGAUGAAAACCUCAAGAGAGGAAUGGGAAGCCUUCUAAACCAUGCCUGUCUUCCCUGUUAUCAGGCAUGUCCCUUGCCAGUUUGUGGUGCUGAGCUGUCUUCCUCAGCAUUUGCUUUCAUCUUCUCGUUCUCCCUCCCGCCUUCCUAAUCCCCUUUCACAAGUCAAGCCAGGAGCUGCAGUCUCUAAUUUGCAGAGGCGACAGGUUGAUGAAUAAAACACUGAUUGGUCAGUAGCCAGGCAGGAAGUAUAGGAGGGGCUACCAGACCAGGAGAAUUCUGGGGAGAGGAAGGCAGAGAGAAGCUAAAAGGGAGAUGCUAUGUAGCUGCUGAAAGAGGAACAUGCUGGAGCAUUCUCUGGUAAGCCAAAACCACAUGGAGAUACACAGUUUAAUAGAAAUGGGUUAAUAGAGAGAGCUAGCCCAUACCAUAAAAAGCCUAAGCCAUCAGCCAAACAGUUUAUAAUUAAUAUAAGCCUCUGUAUAUUUAUUUUGGGGCCAAACGGCAUCAGG